rnacentral:rRNA from 1 species
GUGGGGAAUAUUGCGCAAUGGGCGAAAGCCUGACGCAGCCACGCCGCGUGGGUGAUGAAGGCCUUCGGGUUGUAAAGCCCUGUCGUGGGGGAAGAACGCAAUGACGGUACCCCACAAGAAAGCACCGGCCAACUCCGUGCCAGCAGCCGCGGUAAUACGGAGGGUGCGAGCGUUGCUCGGAAUCACUGGGCGUAAAGCGUACGCAGGCGGAUCGUUAAGUCGGGUGUGAAAGCCCGGGGCUCAACCCCGGAAUUGCAUUCGAAACUGGCGGUCUUGAGUACGGGAGAGGGAGGCGGAAUUCCUGGUGUAGAGGUGAAAUUCGUAGAUAUCAGGAGGAACACCGGUGGCGAAAGCGGCCUCCUGGCCCGAUACUGACGCUCAUGUACGAGAGCGUGGGGAGCAAACAGGAUUAGAAACCCGAGUAGUCC